UGCCUCCCCUCCGGGCGGGUCGGCGCCCGCCGGAGGAUAGCGACACUCUGAUUUAACGACGUUUCUUCUGAGUGGUACAAGCAAAUAAUCAAAACUUUUAACAACGGAUCUCUUGGUUCUGGCAUCGAUGAAGAACGCAGCGAAAUGCGAUAAGUAAUGUGAAUUGCAGAAUUCAGUGAAUCAUCGAAUCUUUGAACGCACAUUGCGCCCGCCAGCAUUCUGGCGGGCAUGCCUGUUCGAGCGUCAUUUCAACCCUCAAGCUCUGCUUGGUGUUGGGGCCCUACAGCUGAUGUAGGCCCUCAAAGGUAGUGGCGGACCCUCCCGGAGCCUCCUUUGCGUAGUAACUUUACGUCUCGCACUGGGAUCCGGAGGGACUCUUGCCGUAAAACCCCCAAUUCUCCAAAGGUUGACCUCGGAUCAGGUAGGAAUACCCGCUGAACUUAAGCAUAUCAAUAAGCGAGGAA
rnacentral:rRNA from 1 species